rnacentral:tRNA from 1 species
GCCCGGGUGGCCCAACCGGAGAGGCAGCCGCCUUAAACGCGGCCCACCUGCGGGUUCGACUCCCGUCCCGGGCA